GAUGAACGCUGGCGGCGUGCCUAAUACAUGCAAGUCGAGCGAACGGACGAGAAGCUUGCUUCUCUGAUGUUAGCGGCGGACGGGGGAGUAACACGUGGAUAACCUACCUAUAAGACUGGGAUAACUUCGGAAAACCGGAGCUAAUACCGGAUAAUAUUUUGAACCGCAUGGUUCAAAAGUGAAAGACGGUCUUGCUGUCACUUAUAGAUGGAUCCGCGCUGCAUUAGCUAGUUGGUAAGGUAACGGCUUACCAAGGCAACGAUGCAUAGCCGACCUGAGAGGGUGAUCGGCCACACUGGAACUGAGACACGGUCCAGACUCCUACGGGAGGCAGCAGUAGGGAAUCUUCCGCAAUGGGCGAAAGCCUGACGGAGCAACGCCGCGUGAGUGAUGAAGGUCUUCGGAUCGUAAAACUCUGUUAUUAGGGAAGAACAUAUGUGUAAGUAACUGUGCACAUCUUGACGGUACCUAAUCAGAAAGCCACGGCUAACUACGUG
rnacentral:rRNA from 1 species